GGUAUAAGGAGUGACAAAUUAUUCCAAAUUCAAAAUUCGCAGAUCACAUUCACCAUGUUUUCAGAUCAAAACUUGUAUCACUACAGCCUCCUCUCUCUCUUCCUCAUCGGACCACCCACCUUCAUCGCCUGUCAAUUCCUCACCGCCCCUUAUGGAAAACACCGUCGCUCCGGUUGGGGACCUACCAUUUCACCACCUUUAGCUUGGUUUCUAAUGGAAAGCCCUACUCUGUGGCUCACACUUAUCCUCGUCCCUUUCGGCAAAAAUCACAACAAUCCAUUAUCACUUAUCCUCAUUUCUCCUUACCUUUUCCACUACACAAAUCGGACGAUAAUUUACCCUUUAAAACUCUACUUCAACUCAAAGGGUGGAUCUCCGGCGAGUGGUUUCCCGGUGAGUAUUGCGUUUUUGGCUUUUGUGUUUAAUCUGUUGAAUGCUUAUGUACAAGCUAGGUGGGUUUCUCAUUACGCUGAUUACGAUUCUGAUGUGUGGUUUUGGGUUCGAUUUGCCGGCGGGAUGGUGGUUUUUGCCGGCGGGAUGGCGGUGAAUGUUUGGGCCGAUAAGGUGUUAGUGGGCCUGAAGAGUGAAGGAAAUGGAUAUAAGAUACCGAGAGGUGGGCUUUUUGAAUAUGUGAGUUGUCCAAAUUACUUGGGGGAGAUAGUGGAGUGGUUGGGCUGGGCUUUAAUGACUGGGUCUUGGGCCGGGUUUGGGUUUUUUCUGUAUACUUUUGCUAAUUUGGUUCCUAGAGCUAGGUUUAAUCAUGAAUGGUAUUUGCAGAAAUUUGG
rnacentral:misc_RNA from 1 species